rnacentral:rRNA from 1 species
CCCUUAGAUGUUCGGGGCCGCACGCGCGCUACACUGAAGGACUCAGCGUGUCUCUCCCCCUAUCCCGAAAGGGAUGGGCAACCCGUUGAACCUCCUUCGUGCUAGGGAUUGGGGUUUGCAAUUAUCCCCCAUGAACGAGGAAUUCCCAGUAAGCGCGAGUCAUCAGCUCGCGUUGAUUACGUCCCUGCCCUUUGUACACACCGCCCGUCGCUACUACCGAUUGGAUGGUUUAGUGAGACCCUCGGAUCGGUCCCGACUCGGGGUGGGCUUCUGCCCCGGUCGUGGUUUCGCCGAGAAGUUGGCUAAACCUUACCAUUUAGAGGAAGGUGAAGUCGUAACA